UACGGGGGGGGCAAGCGUUGUUCGGAAUUACUGGGCGUAAAGGGUUCGUAGGUGGCCCGCUAAGUCAGACGUGAAAUCCCUCAGCUCAACUGGGGAACUGCGUCUGAGACUGGCAGGCUCGAGUGCAGGAGAGGAACGCGGAAUUCCAGGUGUAGCGGUGAAAUGCGUAGAUAUCGGGAGGAACACCGGUGGCGAAGGCGGUUCUCUGGGCCUGUACUGACGCUGAGGAGCGAAAGCGUGGGGAGCGAACAGG
rnacentral:rRNA from 1 species